rnacentral:lncRNA from 1 species
AGUGACGGCGCUGAGGCGGUCACCGAUGCCAUCGCCGGGCUGCUCGGCCCCGUGGGCCUGCUCCUCCUCCCGGUGGGGCUCCUCCUCCUCAUCCACCUCCUCUCCUGCGACCGCUCCCCCGACGUGUUCGAGUUUGGCGGCUCGCCCGACGCCGUGCACCACGUCGGGGGAUCCCCCGUGGGCGUGGCGCUGAUGCUGGUCCUCAUCCUUGCCCUCCUCUACUACCGGUCCGCGCUCUUCGGUGGCGGCGGAGCGACGACGAGUAGGCGCCUAGGCGCUCGCCAGUAGGUACUAGGUAGAGCCUGAUCUCGGUGUGGCUGGUUGGUUGUUCAGACUUGCGAGUAGGCACUCCAGCAGGCAGCAGUAAAUAAAAAAAGUGAGAGCUUUGUGUCUAAUCUGUUCCAAGUGUUGCAUUCCAAUCUUGGUCCAACUGGCAAGGACAAACAAAAAGUUGGAACUGAAUUUGACCUGAUCUGUGCCUUUUGAACCGAUAGUGAGACGCUAGCUCCAACUGCCUCGUACCGUGUAGUGUACUACUCCAAAAAGCUAAUGGUGUUCUGCUCGUAGUAGCUGGAAAUGAAAACAUAACUUUGGAUUUCCAAAAGGAGAAAAAAGGGCAAUUUGAAGUCAGUUUCAUGGGAUGUUUAGCUGACAAAUCUGUGCACUAACAAGUGAUUACACACUCAUCCUAGGCAAGAACGUAGCUUGCUAAGGUCCUGGUAUCUAAUGGUUCGACAGUUACUCAGGAGUGACGUGGUGGGGGAGUUCCGCGGGUGUGCUGUGUGAUUUGGAAGCGAACUAGAAGUAACUAGUCUUCAACCCAUGCUACUGCAUGGGCUAGUAAUUACCGAAAAUUUAUAAUAUUAUACAUAAAAUGUUUAAGUAAUUAUUUACUUUAUAUCCCGUCCAAAUCAGAAGUAUUGAUUAUUUUUACUACUUAUUUUCAUAGCGCAGAUAAUAUUAUAUUUCCUACGCCCUACACUUUAAAUAUUGUGGACAAUCAUAUACCUUUAAAUUUCAUAUGCUAGUGUCCUGCAUUAUGCACUGGAGAAGCACGGGAUGUUUUUGCCUAGUAGUAGCACUGGGUUUUUUCCUAGUAGUAGCACUGGGUUUUUUCCUAGUAGUAGCGCGGGCAUCGGCGCUACAGCUAAACUUUAGCAGUAGCGUUGGUCAGCCCGCGCUACUGCGAUGUAUGUUAGUAGUAGCAGGCACUACUGCUAAGUAAUAGCAGCGUGGUCUUCAACCCAUGCUAGUACUAUUCAUCUGUAUUUCAAUUCUUUUUAUUUUAUACUCUAUUUUACAUCUACUAAUCCAACUUUUGGCCACAUGAAUCUAAUCUGGGUUUCUUCCACCCAAUGAUGUAAUAACUCAUCAUGAUCAUAAUAAGUCAUCAUCAUCAUCAUAACAACUCAUCAUCAUAGUCAUAUAGGAACUAGCUCAUCAUUCUAGCACAAUGUAGCACAUAAUUCGUCAUCAUCAUCGUGAUAACAAAUCAUCAUUAUAGUCAUAUAGGAACUAGCUCAUCAUUCUAGCACAAUGUAGCACAAAACUCAUCAUCAUCAUGAUAACAAGCCAUCAUCGUAUUCAUAUGAGAACUAGCUCAUCAUUCUAGGACAAUGUAGCACAUAACUACCUAAGACCUGCUACUCUCUCGAAGGUAAGAUAGCAUAAAAUGGUUAAACCCCUGAAUCUCCAUUACGGAGAAUACAGAUGAACCUAUCUCUCAUUUGUGGGCUGCGCUUGAUGUUGCCCCCAAGUAGUUCCCUGCGAUCAUUCAGAACUUUUCUCCAGUCUUUGAUUGUGAGGACGUCAUCUCUUUGAUGAAUCGUGUAUGCACUGCGGUGACACGUAGGCCAACUUGGCUUUAAGCUAAUAAUGUUCAUGUCACCUUUCAUUUCCAUAAGACGAGGUACACAAUCCACCGGGAAUUUCUAUAGAAGAACAUCAUAAUGACAUACUUAGCAAAAUGUAUAGUUUACUUCAGAAGAAUGUAUGCAAAAGAUGCAUUGAUGAUAUAAUAGGAAAAUCUUACCAUGAUAUCUCGAUGGAUGUUACCGUAAUUCAACACGUGGACUAGUGGCACGUAUUGAUCAUAACUUGGAGGAAUAUGACAACUCAUCUUAAAAGUCUCAACAUCUUGAAUCCAUGAAACAAAAUGAUUUAUCUCCUCGCAAGUUAGCUCAGACCCAUAAGUGUAGUAGGUUUUCUCUACUACUUCCCGUACAUUUCUUGAAGAAUGGAAACUCACAUAGAGGUAGAAGUGGAAGCAUACCCUUUUAAGUGAACAAUAUAAAUUACUUAAUAAAUAUGUUUGAGAAACUAACAUAGAGGUAGAAGUGGAAGCAUAUCAACAUCGACCCAAAUGUUGAUAUUAUCUUCAUCGAUGUCAUCUUCAGGAUCACCAAGAUCGAAGGUCACAUGCAUACCCUCCUGAAAACCAUACGCCUUGCAUAUUUCUAUCCAAUUCGAGCAACCAAAAUGGGAGUAGGUCACCGCAUGUUGGAAACGUUGCAUGGAAAACAAAAAACAAUUCUACGCACACGCAAGAUCUAUCAAAGAAGAUGCAUAGCAAUGAGAUGGGAGAGCGUGUCUACGUACCCUCGUAGACCGUCAGCGGAAGUGUUUGAUAACACGGUUGAUGUAGUCAAACUUCUUCGCGCUCCAACCGAUCAAGUACCGAACGUACGACACCUCCGCAUUCUGCAGGCGUUCAGCUCGGUGACGUCCUCAGCCUUCUUGAUCCAGCAAGACAACGAGGUAGUGGAUGAGUUUCGACAACAUGACGGCAUGGUGACGGUGAUGGUGAAGCUAUAUCCACAGGGCUUCGCCUAAGCAGUACGACAAUAUGUCCGGGGUGUAAACGGUGGAUGGGGCGCCGCACAUGGAAAAACAUUUAUUUUCCUAUCUAAAACCGACUCUAACUUAUGUUCUAAAUAUAACGGUCCCGUCUAUUGUAGCACUCCACUAGUAGAAAUAGGGCCAAUUGUCCCGGUCCAUAAGGGCCUUUAGUCCCGGUUCUUACACGAAACGGGACUAAAGGCCGUCCACGUGGCCGCUGCCUGGAGGUCCACCUUUAGUCCCGGUUGGUAACACCAAGCGGUAUAAAGGAAGUUUUAUGAUUUUUUUGAAUUUUUUUCUUGAUUUUCAAAUUUUUGAAUUAUUUUAACCUCUGAUCUCUAAUCACCCCUCAUCACUACUCAAUUUAACCUCUAAUCUCUAAUCACCCCUCAUCAUUGUAAAUCAUCUAACUUCCCGGAGGGUCACCCAUCCUCUCACUACUCCAGCCUGAGCACGUUUAACUUCCGGGUUCUAUUAUCCCUCGUUUCCAAGCCUGUACUUAUUGUUUUCCUGACAAUAGUAAGAUGUCAAUCCUAUUAACCCUCAGGAAUUUAGCUUGAGCAUGAAGUCACACAUUUCACUGUUUGAGUUUGAAACUAUUGUUCUAAAAAACAAUAAUUAUUUAGUAACACUAAUAUUUCUUGAAUAAGUAGUUGGACCACAGUUUGACCAGAUUUGACCGAAAUUAAAAAAAACUGAAACAAUUAUUUAGCAACACUAAUAUUUCUUGAAUAAGUAGUUUGACCAUAGUUUGACCACAGUUUGACCAGAUUUGACCAAAUUUCAAAAAAAAACUGAAAUAAUUAUUUAGCAACACUAAUAUUCUUGAAUAAUUAUUUAGUAACACUAAUACUUCUUGAAUAAGUAGUUUGACCAGAUUUAACAAAAAUUCAAAAAAAACUGAAAUUUGAGCAUAACUUUUUUUCCUUUUAGAAUUUGAGGAUUCUAAAAAUUUGCAAACAAGCCGUAGGCCGUCAAAAUUGGAUCCGGAUUUUCGUGCUGAAUAUUUUGAUAUAUUAUACGUUUUUUCUGACAUCGUAUGCAAAAGUUAUAGCUGUUUUAUAUUUUUCCUACACUUUUUGCAAAACAUGUCCAAAUUUAAGUUUUUAAAUUUUCCUAACUAGUAGAUGUAGUAACAUAACUACAUCUCGAAGGAUUUUCAUUUUUAAAGUUUUUAUCAUUUCUUUUGCUUUUUACAAAACUGAAAAGGCGAUCCACAGGACGGCAGGGGGGGGGGGUUAGAGUUUGAAAAUGAGACCUUUAGUACCUGUUCGUGCCAUGAACCGAUACUAAUGCUUCAAACCCCUGGGACUAAUACCUGUACGGUGCCCUAGCCGUUUGAACCGGGACUAAUGCUCACAUUAGUCCCGGUUCGUAAUGCAACCGGGAUUAAUGCUCUUUUCUGGCCGAAUCAAAGCCCUGUUUUCUACAAGUGUCGUCUAAAAUACACUGCUCGGCUGCGCGCCUGGGCCAAGUAUCUCGGUCUAUCGAGCUGGCCCGGUCAAAACCAGGACCAGACCGACUUAUUUUCGGGCCUGUUUCUGCAGACCGGACCGACCAUUUUUAUCAGCGGGCCAGGACCGUUCGGUCCGAUCCGUUGCGGGCCACGAGCCGGGCCAAAAGCCCGCUCGCCACGUCCAGGCCGAGUCUUGUGUAUCGUUGUACAUUUCAAAGCAGCAAGCAAGGAUCGGAGUACCCAAAUACUGUAGCAGCCUAGACGUUCCCCAAAUACAGUAUAAACUAGUGAACUUAUGAGGAAAUUUCCUUGGACCACUUUCAGUGACCAGCACCCACCGCUUUCCUUGACGUGAUCCGCCCGUCCCCCAUUGCGUCACACGCCUAUCUCCGCAAAGUCACACUCCCAACCCUCUAAAGGCUUGAGUGCUCUACCCACAGCCAUUACCACGCCUCGCACAAUUGUCGCCAGGCGAGACAAGGACAGCUAGCAAGAGAGCAAGGCGAUGUCAAUGGCGGACGAGCAAUACGACGCUGGGCCGCGUGGGGCGCCGCAUGGGCUGCUGUUGGCGGUGGUGGUGGGGCUGCUGGUUGGGUGGCCGCUUUUCCUAAGUGACGGCGCUGAGGCGGUCACCGAUGCCAUCGCCGGGCUGCUUGGCCCCGUGGGCCUGCUCCUCCUCCCGGUGGGGCUCCUCCUCCUCAUCCACCUCCUCUCCUGCGACCGCUCCCCCGACGUGUUCGAGUUUGCCGGCUCGCCCGACGCCGUGCACCACGUCGGGGGAUCACCCGUCGGCGUGGCGCUGAUGCUGGUCCUCAUGCUUGCCCUCCUCUACUACCGGUCCGCACUCUUCGGUGGCGGCGGAGGCGACGACGAGUAGGCGCCUAGGCGCUCGCCAGUAGGUACUAGGUAGAGCCUGAUCUCGGUGUGGCUGGUUGGUUGUUCAGACUUGCGAGUAGGCACUCCAGCAGGCAGCAGUAAAUAAAAAAAGUGAGAGCUUUGCGUCUAAUCUGUUCCAAGUGUUGCAUUCCAAUUUUGGUCCAACAGGCAAGGACAAACAAAAAGUUGGAACUGAAUUUGACCUGAUCUGUGCCUUUUGAACCGAUAGUGAGACGCUAGCUCCAACUGCCUCGUACCGUGUAGUGUACUACUCCAAAAAGCUAAUGGUGUUCUGCUCGUAGUAGCUGAAAAUGAAAACAUAACUUUGGAUUUCCAAAAGGAGAAAAAAGGGCAAUUUGAAGUCAGUUUCAUGGGAUGUUUAGCUGACAAAUCUGUGCACUAACAAGUGAUUACACACUCAUCCUAGGCAAGAACGUAGCUUGCUAAGGUCCUGGUAUCUAAUGGUUCCACAGUUACUCAGGAGUGACGUGGUGGGGGAGUUCCGCGGGUGUGCUGUGUGAUUUGGAAGCGAACUAGAAGUAACUAGUCUUCAACCCAUGCUACUGCACGGGCUAGUAAUUACCGAAAAUUUAUAAUAUUAUACAUAAAAUGUUUAAGUAAUUACUUACUUUAUAUCCCGUCCAAAUCAGAAGUAUUGAUUAUUUUUACUACUUAUUUUCAUAGCGCAGAUAAUAUUAUAUUUCCUACGCCCUACACUUUAAACAUUGUGGACAAUCAUAUACCUUUAAAUUUCAUAUGCUAGUGUCCUGCAUUAUGCACUGGAGAAGCACGGGAUGUUUUUGCCUAGUAGUAGCACUGGGUUUUUUCCUAGUAGUAGCGCGGGCAUCAGCGCUACAGCUAAACUUUAGCAGUAGCGUUGGUCAGCCCGCGCUACUGCGAUGUAUGUUAGUAGUAGCAGGCACUACUGCUAAGUAAUAGCAGCGUGGUCUUCAACCCAUGCUAGUACUAUUCAUCUAUAUUUCAAUUCUUUUUAUUUUAUACUCUAUUUUACAUCUGCUAAUCCAACUUUUGGCCACAUGAAUCUAAUCUGGGUUUCUUCCACCCAAUGAUGUAAUAACUCAUCAUGAUCAUAAUAAGUCAUCAUCAUCAUCAUAACAACUCAUCAUCAUAGUCAUAUAGGAACUAGCUCAUCAUUCUAGCACAAUGUAGCACAUAAUUCGUCAUCAUCAUCGUGAUAACAAAUCAUCAUUAUAGUCAUAUAGGAACUAGCUCAUCAUUCUAGCACAAUGUAGCACAAAACUCAUCAUCAUCAUGAUAACAAGCCAUCAUCGUAUUCAUAUGAGAACUAGCUCAUCAUUCUAGGACAAUGUAGCACAUAACUACCUAAGACCUGCUACUCUCUCGAAGGUAAGAUAGCAUAAAAUGGGUAAACCCCUGAAUCUCCAUUACGGAGAAUACAGAUGAACCUAUCUCUCAUUUGUGGGCUGCGCUUGAUGUUGCCCCCAAGUAGUUCCCUGCGAUCAUUCAGAACUUUUCUCCAGUCUUUGAUUGUGAGGACGUCAUCUCUUUGAUGAAUCGUGUAUGCACUGCGGUGACACGUAGGCCAACUUGGCUUUAAGCUAAUAAUGUUCAUGUCACCUUUCAUUUCCAUAAGACGAGGUACACAAUCCACCGGGAAUUUCUAUUGAAGAACAUCAUAAUGACAUACUUAGCAAAAUGUAUAGUUUACUUCAGAAGAAUGUAUGCAAAAGAUGCAUUGAUGAUAUAAUAGGAAAAUCUUACCAUGAUAUCUCAAUGGAUGUUACCGUAAUUCAACACGUGGACUAGUGGCCCGUAUUGAUCAUAACUUGGAGGAAUAUGACAACUCAUCUUAAAAGUCUCAACAUCUUGAAUCCAUGAAACAAAAUGAUUUAUCUCCUCGCAAGUUAGCUCAGACCCAUAAGUGUAGUAGGUUUUCUCUACUACUUCCCGUACAUUUCUUGAAGAAUGGAAACUCACAUAGAGGUAGAAGUGGAAGCAUACCCUUUUAAGUGAACAAUAUAAAUUACUUAAUAAAUAUGUUUGAGAAACUAACAUAGAGGUAGAAGUGGAAGCAUAUCAACAUCGACCCAAAUGUUGAUAUUAUCUUCAUCGAUGUCAUCUUCAGGAUCACCAAGAUCGAAGGUCACAUGCAUACCCUCCUGAAAACCAUACGCCUUGCAUAUUUCUAUCCAAUUCGAGCAACCAAAAUGGGAGUAGGUCACCGCAUGUUGGAAACGUUGCAUGGAAAACAAAAAACAAUUCUACGCACACGCAAGAUCUAUCAAAGGAGAUGCAUAGCAAUGAGAUGGGAGAGCGUGUCUACGUACCCUCGUAGACCGUCAACGGAAGUGUUUGAUAACACGGUUGAUGUAGUCAAACUUCUUCGCGCUCCAACCGAUCAAGUACCGAACGUACGACACCUCCGCAUUCUGCAGGCGUUCAGCUCGGUGACGUCCUCAGCCUUCUUGAUCCAGCAAGACAACGAGGUAGUGGAUGAGUUUCGACAACAUGACGGCAUGGUGACGGUGAUGGUGAAGCUAUAUCCACAGGGCUUCGCCUAAGCAGUACGACAAUAUGUCCGGGGUGUAAACGGUGGAUGGGGCGCCGCACAUGGAAAAACAUUUAUUUUCCUAUCUAAAACCGACUCUAACUUAUGUUCCAAAUAUAACGGUCCCGUCUAUUGUAGCACUCCACUAGUAGAAAUAGGGCCAAUUGUCCCGGUUCAUAAGGGCCUUUAGUCCCGGUUCUUACACGAAACGGGACUAAAGGCCGUCCACGUGGCCGCUGCCUGGAGGUCCACCUUUAGUCCCGGUUGGUAACACCAAGCGGUAUAAAGGAAGUUUUAUGAUUUUUUUGAAUUUUUUUCUUGAUUUUCAAAAUUUUGAAUUAUUGUAACCUCUGAUCUCUAAUCACCCCUCAUCACUACUCAAUUUAACCUCUAAUCUCUAAUCACCCCUCAUCAUUGUAAAUCAUCUAACUUCCCGGAGGGUCACCCAUCCUCUCACUACUCCAGCCUGAGCACGUUUUACUUCCGGGUUCUAUUCUCCCUCGUUUCCAAGCCUGUACUUGUUGUUUUCCUGACAAUUGUAAGAUGUCAAUCCUAUUAACCCUCAGGAAUUUAGCUUGAGCAUGAAGUCACACAUUUCGCUGUUUGAGUUUGAAACUAUUGUUCUAAAAAACAAUAAUUAUUUAGUAACACUAAUAUUUCUUGAAUAAGUAGUUGGACCACAGUUUGACCAGAUUUGACCGAAAUUCAAAAAAAACUGAAACAAUUAUUUAGCAACACUAAUAUUUCUUGAAUAAGUAGUUUGACCAUAGUUUGACCAGAUUUGACCAAAUUUCAAAAAAACUGAAAUAAUUAUUUAGCAACACUAAUAUUCUUGAAUAAUUAUUUAGUAACACUAAUACUUCUUGAAUAAGUAGUUUGACUAGAUCUAACAAAAAUUCAAAAAAAAAGCUGAAAUUUGAGCAUAACUUUUUUUCCUUUUAGAAUUUGAGGAUUCUAAAAAUUUGCAAACAAGCCGUAGGCCGUCAAAAUUGGAUCCGGAUUUUCAUGCUGAAUAUUUUGAUAUAUUAUACGUUUUUUCUGACAUCGUAUGCAAAAGUUAUAGCUGUUUUAUAUUUUCCCUACACUUUUUGCAAAACAUGUCCAAAUUUAAGUUUUUAAAUUUUCCUAACUAGUAGAUGUAGUAACAUAACUACAUCUCGAAGGAUUUUCAUUUUUAAAGUUUUUAUCAUUNNNNNNNNNNNNNNNNNNNNNNNNNNNNNNNNNNNNNNNNNNNNNNNNNNNNNNNNNNNNNNNNNNNNNNNNNNNNNNNNNNNNNNNNNNNNNNNNNNNNNNNNNNNNNNNNNNNNNNNNNNNNNNNNNNNNNNNNNNNNNNNNNNNNNNNNNNNNNNNNNNNNNNNNNNNNNNNNNNNNNNNNNNNNNNNNNNNNNNNNNNNNNNNNNNNNNNNNNNNNNNNNNNNNNNNNNNNNNNNNNNNNNNNNNNNNNNNNNNNNNNNNNNNNNNNNNNNNNNNNNNNNNNNNNNNNNNNNNNNNNNNNNNNNNNNNNNNNNNNNNNNNNNNNNNNNNNNNNNNNNNNNNNNNNNNNNNNNNNNNNNNNNNNNNCCUGUUCGUGCCAUGAAGCGAUACUAAUGCUUCAAACCCCUGGGACUAAUACCUGUACGGUGCCCUAGCCGUUUGAACCGGGACUAAUACUCACAUUAGUCCCGGUUCGUAAUGCAACCGGGAUUAAUGCUCUUUUCUGGCCGAAUCAAAACCCUGUUUUCUACAAGUGUUGUCUAAAAUACACUGCUGGGCUGCGCGCCUGUGUCAAGUAUCUCGGUCUAUCGAGCUGGCCCGGUCAAAACCAGGACCAGACCGACUUAUUUUCGGGCCUGUUUCUGCAGACCGGACCGACCAUUUUUAUCAGCGGGCCAGGACCGUCCGGUCCGGUCCGUUGCGGGCCACGAGCCGGGCCAAAAGCCGGCUCGCCACGUACAGGCCGAGUCUUGUGUAUCGUUGUACAUUUCAAAGCAGCAAGCAAGGAUCGGAGUACCCAAAUACUGUAGCAGCCUAGACGUUCCCCAAAUACAGUAUAAACUAGUGAACUUAUGAGGAAAUUUCCUUGGACCACUUUCAGUGACCAGCACCCACCGCUUUCCUUGACGUGAUCCGCCCGUCCCCCAUUGCGUCACACGCCUAUCUCCGCAAAGUCACACUCCCAACCCUCUAAAGGCUUGAGUGCUCUACCCAUAGCCAUUACCACGCCUCGCACAAUUGUCGCCAGGCGAGACAAGGACAGCUAGCAAGAGAGCAAGGCGAUGUCAAUGGCGGACGAGCAAUACGACGCUGGGCCGCGUGGGGCGCCGCACGGGCUGCUGUUGGCGGUGGUGGUGGGGCUGCUGGUUGGGUGGCCGCUUUUCCUAAGUGACGGCGCUGAGGCGGUCACCGAUGCCAUCGCCGGGCUGCUCGGCCCCGUGGGCCUGCUCCUCCUCCCGGUGGGGCUCCUCCUCCUCAUCCACCUCCUCUCCUGCGACCGCUCCCCCGACGUGUUCGAGUUUGGCGGCUCGCCCGACGCCGUGCACCACGUCGGGGGAUCCCCCGUCGGCGUGGCGCUGAUGCUGGUCCUCAUCCUUGCCCUCCUCUACUACCGGUCCGCGCUCUUCGGUGGCGGCGGAGGCGACGACGAGUAGGCGCCUAGGCGCUCGCCAGUAGGUACUAGGUAGAGCCUGAUCUCGGUGUGGCUGGUUGGUUGUUCAGACUUGCGAGUAGGCACUCCAGCAGGCAGCAGUAAAUAAAAAAAGUGAGAGCUUUGUGUCUAAUCUGUUCCAAGUGUUGCAUUCCAAUCUUGGUCCAACUGGCAAGGACAAACAAAAAGUUGGAACUGAAUUUGACCUGAUCUGUGCCUUUUGAACCGAUAGUGAGACGCUAGCUCCAACUGCCUCGUACCGUGUAGUGUACUACUCCAAAAAGCUAAUGGUAUUCUGCUCGUAGUAGCUGAAAAUGAAAACAUAACUUUGGAUUUCCAAAAGGAGAAAAAAGGGCAAUUUGAAGUCAGUUUCAUGGGAUG